GGCAAGGAGGCCCAGAGCCACCCGCGGUGCCCAGGUGCGGGCAGUGUCCAUGGGCAGGACAGUGGGUCCUCUCCCUGCUGCGGGAUUUGGAGAGACCUGAGACUCCCCCAGCCUGUCUGCUGUAGCCGUCAGCGCCUGUGAAGGGGUGAUGUGUGCGCUGGGUGGGGUGGCGGGGAUAGGUUCUCAGUUCUGCUCCCCGGUCAGUGCUGGUCUUGGCUCUGGGCCACUGCCCCACCUGCACCUGGCCGCCUGGCUGUAAACACGGCUUGCAGAUGCCAGCUUCUCUCAACCCCUCUCCGCAGGCCGCCUCCCUCUGUCAGGCUGCGGGAACUCCUCCGUGUAGCCUCCACGAGAGGCCACGUGCCCUCCUGCCUCUCCUCGUGGCCGCUGGCCCUAGAGUAGACUCAUUUCAGGAAUGAGUGGGGUCUGGCCCGCAGCCCAGUCUGGCGGCUUCCAGUGCCCCUCAGAGGUUAGGCCACUCCUUCCAGGAGCGCUUUAGUGAGGGGGAGGGAGGGAGACGUACAGGCACCUGCAGAAAUCUCAGCGGCCUCUGCUUCUCCCUCGCUCCAGCCCCCAGACAGAGGUGGGGCCUGGCUUAGCCCUGUGCCCCUCGGGGAGGUGCGCGGAGCUGGGCGGCCUCAGGCCCCUCCUGCCCCGGGGCAGCCCUCACCUGGGCUACCUUGGAGGAGGCACCGUAGGGGAGACCACCUGCAACCUCUUCCCCGAAGGGCCCUGCGCUUCGUCACGGGCCCCUGAAUUUGGGGACCUCUGUGCUAAUGGGGCAUUUUCUGCGGUUUCCAGUGUUUCAUGCCCUGCAUCUCUGGAAAGCCCUGGUGGGAAUCGAGGUUCUCCUGGGGGGCCCCUAAUGGCGGGAGCUGUGAGGGGCUGUGCCGCCAGGUGCCUGUUCCCCAGUGGCUCCCAAAGCUGGUCUGUGGGAAGUGCGGCUGGACAGGCCCAGGGCACAGCGCACGGGCCUGGAGCAUUCACGGUGCUCUCCUUCACGGUGCCUGCAGGGAGUGAGGAUUCUUUGGACACCAGCCUGAGAGUUCACGGGGUCCACGCCACUAAGCAUGCGCCCGAGAAGCGGCCCCUGCCCAUUCGAAGGAAGAGAAGCAUCGAGGAAGCUGUCCCCGCUGUCUGCAAGACCAGGACGGUCAUUUACGAGAUUCCUCGGAGUCAGGUCGACCCCACAUCCGCCAACUUCCUGAUCUGGCCCCCGUGCGUGGAGGUGAAACGCUGCACCGGCUGCUGCAACACGAGCAGUGUCAAGUGCCAGCCCUCCCGUGUCCACCACCGCAGCGUCAAGGUGGCCAAGGUGGAAUACGUCAGGAAGAAGCCAAAAUUAAAAGAAGUCCAGGUGAGGUUAGAGGAGCAUUUGGAGUGCACCUGCGCGACCACCAGCCUGAAUCCGGAUUAUCGGGAAGAGGACACGGGUGAGUGGCUGCCUUCAUCGGCAUCGGUGUUGGAGAACAGGUCUUUAGAGCCUUGCUUUUGGGGUGUUAGGUGGCCCCCUUGAGCGCAACGCUUACUGCUGUGAGCAUCUGGGCUGCUGUUGAAGGAUUCGUUGCCCUGCUCCCGGGCCAGAUGCCUGCGGGGGAGACGGAUCCCGCACCUGCAGGUGUCUGGUGGGGAGGGUGGCCCAAGCUGCGGCACUGGCAGGAGAGGAGGUUCAGGUCUCACUGAGAGGGGCUGGGAGUGCAUAAGACACCCAACUCAUUAGUGGGCUGCGGGGCUGAGCUGAGAAGAAUCUGCAGAAGGGCCUCCUGCCAGG
rnacentral:sRNA from 1 species